rnacentral:rRNA from 1 species
UGGUGGAGUGAUUUGUCUGGUUAAUUCCGAUAACGAACGAGACCUUAACCUGCUAAAUAGCCCAGCUGGCAUUUGCUGGUUGCAGGCUUCUUAGAGGGACUGUCAGCGUCUAGCUGACGGAAGUUUGAGGCAAUAACA